rnacentral:rRNA from 1 species
GUUGCGCCCUAGGCCAUCCGGCUGAGGGCACGCCUGCCUGGGCGUCAC